AACAGAACCCCCAAGCGUUACCCGGAUUUAUUGGGCGUAAAGUGUGCGUAGCCGGUCUGGAAAGUCUCGGGUUAAAGCCCAAGGGCUCAACCUUUGGAUUGCCCGGGAAACUUCUAGACUUGAGGGCGUUAGGGGCUGAUGGAACUCUUGGUGGAGGGGUGAAAUCCGUUGAUAUCAAGAGGAACACCAAAAGCGAAGGCAUUCAGCUGGGGCGACCCUGACGGUGAGGCACGAAAGCGUGGGGAGCAAAAAGG
rnacentral:misc_RNA from 1 species